rnacentral:lncRNA from 1 species
GAACUUUCAAGUACGUGAUUCCGAAUUUCCUCCUCGUGGCUUCCAAAUAUUUCUCCUUCUUCUUCUUCUAUAUCCGAGAGUGGCAAAAUGUGAGCAUAGUCAAGAUUGAGCAUAAGCAGAAUUAAAGCUCUAAUGGUGAGCUUCAAUUGCCUUUGAAUAGUGCGCAUGGUGAGGGUGAGAGAGAGAGACUCGAAAUGCUUGCAGGGAAUUAAAUGCAAUGAUUGCCAAGGCUUGAAAAUGAUGAAGGGGAUAGUGAUUUAUAGUUGUUAGGUUUGGAUUAGAAUAGGUUUGGAUUCAGGUAUGGAAUUAGUUAGGAGUUGGUUAAGAUGAAAUCAGUGAGUUCAAUCUGUUAAGUCACUAAGUUGGCAGUUAGUUAAUGCAAUUAGUUAGUUACUUAGUUAGGAUGAGUGAACCUAAAUUUGUUUUUCUUUGACUGGUUACUGCAGGUUGGGACUUAAGUGGAAUUGAUCUUAACAUGAGUGAUGACCUGCUGAGAAGGUUCACCCUUUAAUGCCAACUUUGUUAAUUAAUUAGCUUAGGAAAUGUUAUGUUGUUGGUUAAUGUUAACUGUUAUGCAUUGCUUGGUGUUGGGAUGCAUGUAGAUAAAUGGCUUGGUGAAUGGUUCUGACUUGGUUUUUUCACUGCAGGUUUUACUUGUAAUGAUGUGAGUAGGUCUUGGCUGUUGUACCAGGUGGAGCUGAUUAUUAAUGGGUGAUGGUUUUUUGUAACUGGUGUUGAUGUUUUCCUGCAGGUCAAUAUAUGCUGUUGUAUGUUUAUGUCUUUAUUGUAUUGCAAAUACUUGUUCUGCUCUUAUGCUGAACUGCAUUGGAUUAUGGGGACUUGUUUAAACAGUGUGUUAUUCUGAUGUAGGUUUUGAGGUUGGAUUAUGGACCUCACAUCGACCUAUCCUGACUUCAUUAGGUUUGUCAUACAACCAAAGGUUUCAAGUAGGUAUGGUAUGGCAUCAUGACUUUACCCCUUGUAUUGCUUGGUGUUUAUUAUCCUGGUGAAUUGAGUUAUGAACUCUGCAUUUCCAUGGACAGGUACUGCUAUGCUUGGAUGAUUGUAAUGUUAUG